rnacentral:rRNA from 1 species
GGCUGGGCUGGGUGGUCAUGGCGCAAGCUAUGCACUACUCUGGUCUGGUCUUUCCUUCUGGGGAUCUAUCGUGCUCUUUACUGGGUGCGGUAGGGAACCAGGACUUUUACUUUGAAAAAAUUAGAGUGUUCAAAGCAGGCAUUUGCUCGAAUACAUUAGCAUGGAAUAAUAGAAUAGGACCCUGGUUCUAUUUUGUUGGUUUCUAGGACCGAGGUA